AGAAGGGUGAGGAAGGCUGCAAAACUCUUCAGGGAAGGAGGCCUGGGAGAGACUCUGCUCAAGCAGAGAUAAGGCAGAGAGAACCCAAGGACUGUAACCCUAAGAUUGUGUGUGACUUGCCUGGAGUGCUGGGCCACUGAAAACCUGCCUAGCAAGGUCGGCAGCCUUCAGGGGGUGCCAGG